UACGGAGGGUGCAAGCGUUAUCCGGAUUCACUGGGUUUAAAGGGUGCGUAGGAGGGCAGGUAAGUCAGUGGUGAAAUCUCCAAGCUUAACUUGGAAACUGCCGUUGAUACUAUCUGUCUUGAAUACCGUGGAGGUGAGCGGAAUAUGUCAUGUAGCGGUGAAAUGCUUAGAUAUGACAUAGAACACCAAUUGCGAAGGCAGCUCGCUACACGAAUAUUGACUCUGAGGCACGAAAGCUAGGGGAGCAAACGGG
rnacentral:rRNA from 1 species